GCAGUUGGUCAUACUGCUGAACUGACAGUACGGUCAGAAAAUGGUUGCAAAGUAAAGAUGGCAGUGAGAGGUGAUGCACGAAUUCUCCUCCUCGGAAUUUUAUGUAUUUUCUUGUUAAAAUCAUGUAAUGGAGCCGCGACAGAUAUUGAAUUAGACGCAAAAGCACAGUUGUUACAUAGACUUGAUAGUUUAAAUCUUUUAUUAUAUACAUUUUUAUUGAUAUUAACUGUUUUAACAAUAUGGACAUUUAAGCAUCGUCGUCUUAGGUUCCUCCAUGAAACUGGUCUAGCUGUCAUUUACGGAUUAAUUAUAGGGGCAAUAAUUCGUUAUGGUUUUACAACAAGUAGUACCAUUCUUCAUAUGCCUGUUGUGCCAGACAACAGUAGUAAAUAUAAUCAAUCAGUUCCUCCAGAUACCUUAUGGUUACGUUUUCCAGAAGAUAAAGGAGGUGGUGUUAUUAAAAAUAAGACAUUUGCCUAUUCAUUUAGGGGAGAAAUUUAUAAGCAAGAUAAUGAGAUAGAUUUGAAGGCCACCUUUGAUCCUGAAAUAUUUUUUAACAUUAUUUUACCACCAAUCAUUUUCCAUGCUGGAUAUAGUUUAAAACGUAAAUACUUCUUUAGAAACUUAGGAGCAAUUCUUAUGUAUGCUUUAAUUGGAACAUCUAUAUCAGCUUUUGUUAUUGGAGCUUUGAUGUAUGCCUUUGUGCAAUUAAUACCACAUCUUUCUGCUUCAUUUACAUUUUUGGAUACCUUAUAUUUUGGUGCAUUAAUAUCUCCUACGGAUCCACUGACAAUAAUUUCUAUUUUUAAUGAUUUACAUGUAGAUGUAAAUUUAUAUGCUUUAGUAUUUGGAGAAAGUGUGUUAAAUGAUGCAGUUGCAAUUGUACUUAGUGGUGCCAUACAAAAUUAUGGAGAACGUUAUCAAUCAGGUUCAGGCGGAUUUGAAACUGUAGCAUUUUUCCAAGCAUUUGGUGAUUUUGUUGGAAUAUUUAGCUUAUCUUUAUUUAUUGGUGCUACCAUGGGCUGUAUCACUGCUUUGUUAACUAAAUUUACUAGAGUCAGAGAUUUUCCACUUUUGGAAUCAGCAUUAUUUGUUUUAAUGUCUUAUAGCACAUUCUUAAUUGCUGAAGCAUCUGAUCUUACAGGUGUAGUCGCUGUCUUAUUCUGUGGUAUUUGUCAAGCACAUUACACGUAUAAUAACUUAAGUCCGGAUUCGCGGCAACGGACGAAACAAUUGUUUGAACUUUUAAAUUUUUUAGCUGAGAACUUUAUAUUCAGUUACAUUGGUGUUACAAUGUUUACUUUUCCGAAACAUCAUUUCGAUCCAGGAUUUAUUUUUGCAGGAUUUCUUUGUGCAUUAUUAGGUCGGGCAGCCAAUGUAUAUCCAUUAUCUUUUAUAUUGAAUUUAGCGCGAAAACCAAAGAUAUCGUUAAAUUAUCAGCAUAUGUUAUUUUUUGCUGGUUUACGUGGAGCCAUGAGUUUUGCUCUGGCUAUCAGAAAUACUGUAUCGGAUGCUCGGCAGGCUAUGUUAACAACAACGAGUUUAAUUGUAAUUCUGACAGUCAUCUUCCAGGGUGGCGCAACAACCCAGUUUUUGAGCUGGUUUAAUAUACCAGUUGGAGUAGAUGAAGAAAUAGAAGGAUUAUCACACAAUGGAAUGCGCAGUUCUGGUGGCGAAGGUGGCUUUGGAGAUCUGGACAUACAUAGGGAGAGAAGUCCGCCGUAUAAUUCUAUGCAGGAUGGAUCAUUACCAGGCAGUGGCAUAAAACCUAAUGAAAAAGCAUUACUUGCUAGAAUCUGGGGUGACUUUGAUACUCGCUACAUGAAACCACUUUUAACUCACUCCAGGCCUACAUUACUAGAAACAUUACCAGUUUGUUGCACACCUUUAGCCAGGAUUCUUACAACAACACAACAAAUGACACAGGAUGAAGCUGUUAGAAAAGCAGAUUCAGAUUCAGAUUUUUGUCUCGAAGAUCGUGAACUGGAACGUCGAAGGAGUAGUAUUCAACCGACACAUGUAAGGAGCUCUCCAAACAGAAUACAUUUAUAAGAGUAAAUCUAAUAUAAUUUAUGAAGUUGUAUACAUUUUUGGGGGAAUUUGGCUGCAUUGAUUUAAGCAUUAAGUAAUUACUCUCUUUGUUGUACAAUAUGCCAUAAAUAUUUAUAUUACUUAACAUUAAUAUGUUAUUUCACACAGACUCUAAUUCGGUAUGUUUAAUUUCUAACAUUCUCUAAUUUUGAUACCAGAUAAAUUUUAAUUUCUUCAAAUGAUACAAAACAUGCUUUCUGAUAUAUUGUAAUCAACAUCUCAGAUAAUACUUAAUGAGAAAAGUAUGACAUAGGUAUGUGCGUAUGCAAUGUUGGUGUCAAAUAUUACAUAUUACUAUUGUAUUAUAGCUUCUAUAAAUGUUAAUUAUAUUUUCCUGGUAUUUAUUUUCUUUGGGAAGUAUUAUCCAAUAUUUUGGAUAACAAAUGACAUUGACAACAAAAGAUUGAAUCUGGGAACUGUGAUGGGAGAAGUUAGUCCGGGACCACUACCAUUGCACACACGCGUCGCCUUGCCAGGUUUGGUCGGCAAACAUUUAUAGAGACUAAUUGAUAUUGGUAAAUAAACUUACCUUUUUAUGUGUAAUAUUAUAUGUGCAACUGAUAAAUGUAUUUAUUUGAAAAGCUUAAAAAAUCUGUGCAAACUAUUAUAUCUAAUACUAUUCAUCAUAAGUAGAAUUUGGAAGAUAUUUCUAUUACUUGCUGUUUUCAUUUAGAUAUUAUAAAAAAUAAAUCAUAUAAGUUGUUAAUGAAAUGUGAGUGUAUGCUAUUAUAAUAAAUGUAACUUAUAUUAUUUUCAUUUUAUAAUUAAUAUUAUUACAUUAUUAUCUUUUGAUUGUCAUGAAUAAGUCUUGACAAAAUUAUUGACAAAAUCUUUCAUAAUCUAUAUGCAUGUGUGUAUAUAUAUGAAUUAUAUGUUACUAUGUUAUAGCAACAUAUAUAUUACAUUUAUUGGUUGUACUAAAUGUAACAAAGUUUUGUUAUAUGCAGUACCAACGAAUCAAUUAUAUGAAAAUCAAUAAAUAUAACUUAUAUUUUUCACUUGGUAUAUAAUUUAUAAUUCAGUGGAGGUCCUGGUUUGUAGUAAUUAUUGCAGAAAAAUUUAUUUUAAAACGUUAUUGAAUUAAAUAUGUUAUUGUGACACCAACUAACAGUUGCAUUAUGCAUUUGAAUAUAAUAAUUCAUAACACAAUGUGACAAAAGAGGAAUAAGAAGUAAUAUGUUUUGUCAGAAAUUUUAAAUUUGUAAAAUUAAAUUAAAUAUAAAAAUAAACUCUGAAAAAAAUAGUUACAUCAAUACAAUGACAAUAAAUUAAUAUGAUUGAAUUUUAAUAUUCUUAUGUUGAAAACAUAAUUUUAAAUUAUUAUAUUUGGAUGUACCUUGCAAUAAUUUAAAGUUAACUUUGUUUGGAUGAAGAAUUUAAUUUUCUGUUCAGCAAAUUGAUUUUGCUGGCAUAUAUAAUAAUAUUUGCAUUUACGGUGCAGGACACUUAACAUGCGAUAGCAACAUAAAUACAUACCAUUUGUAUUAUAAUUUGUAAUUGUAUAUGCAUAAGUGGUCUAAAAAUUAAAUCAAUCAACAUAAAACAAUUUAUUGGAAAGGUUAUUAUAGACAGAAAUUAUAAACUGUGCCAAUCCUCGCAAAAAUUACAAUAUAAAUUAUAAAAUUCUUCUGUGAAAAUGAUUAUAAGUAAAAACUUUAACAUAUUUUAAAUGACAUAUAAUACAGUAUUGUUCUCAGAACAGUACAAAAUACAUAUUACAAAUUAUAAGAAUA